rnacentral:tRNA from 2 species
GUCAGGAUGGCCGAGCGGUCUAAGGCGCCAGACUCAAGGUGAUAAACCUUCCUCAAGUAUGGGACUUCUGGUCUCCGAAUGGAGGCGUGGGUUCGAAUCCCACUUCUGACA